rnacentral:rRNA from 1 species
AUUGAACGCUGGCGGCAGGCUUAACACAUGCAAGUCGAGCGGAGAUGAGGUGCUUGCACCUUAUCUUAGCGGCGGACGGGUGAGUAAUGCUUAGGAAUCUGCCUAUUAGUGGGGGACAACAUUCCGAAAGGAAUGCUAAUACCGCAUACGUCCUACGGGAGAAAGCAGGGGAUCUUCGGACCUUGCGCUAAUAGAUGAGCCUAAGUCGGAUUAGCUAGUUGGUGGGGUAAAGGCCUACCAAGGCGACGAUCUGUAGCGGGUCUGAGAGGAUGAUCCGCCACACUGGGACUGAGACACGGCCCAGACUCCUACGGGAGGCAGCAGUGGGGAAUAUUGGACAAUGGGGGGAACCCUGAUCCAGCCAUGCCGCGUGUGUGAAGAAGGCCUUUUGGUUGUAAAGCACUUUAAGCGAGGAGGAGGCUACCUAGAUUAAUACUCUGGGAUAGUGGACGUUACUCGCAGAAUAAGCACCGGCUAACUCUGUGCCAGCCGCCGCCGUAAGAC